UGGCUCAGGACGAACGCUGGCGGCGUGCUUAACACAUGCAAGUCGAACGAUGAAGCCUUUCGGGGUGGAUUAGUGGCGAACGGGUGAGUAACACGUGGGCAAUCUGCCCUUCACUCUGGGACAAGCCCUGGAAACGGGGUCUAAUACCGGAUAACACUCUGUCCCGCAUGGGACGGGGUUAAAAGCUCCGGCGGUGAAGGAUGAGCCCGCGGCCUAUCAGCUUGUUGGUGGGGUAAUGGCCUACCAAGGCGACGACGGGUAGCCGGCCUGAGAGGGCGACCGGCCACACUGGGACUGAGACACGGCCCAGACUCCUACGGGAGGCAGCAGUGGGGAAUAUUGCACAAUGGGCGAAAGCCUGAUGCAGCGACGCCGCGUGAGGGAUGACGGCCUUCGGGUUGUAAACCUCUUUCAGCAGGGAAGAAGCGAAAGUGAC
rnacentral:rRNA from 1 species